rnacentral:lncRNA from 1 species
AUUGGGUAAACGCAAGGGAGGAGAAAAGAAUCAGCUGCUUCCCCAAAAAGCCAAGGGUACUUUUAAUGGAAAAUGAUAUUAGAAAUCAAGAUUUGGACAUUUGGGAUGUUGUUGCUUCUAGACACUCUCAGCUGACAGAGCAAGGAAAUAUUUGUGGAUAUGCUAACCUGACUAAAUACGCAUAUCUGCUCCAUACCUACCUAACAUCUAUCUUCUCAAGAACUCUGCCAGGGAAGGAGUAGUUUCUGUGUUUCAUAAACAGACUGAGACUCAAAGAGGCUAAGUAAACUACCUGAAGCCAUAUAUAGCAACACACAAUGACGGAUGUGAGAUUCAAACUUGGAUUUAUCUGGCUCCAAAAUUUCUAGUUUUUUUUUUUUUUUUUUUCCCACUACAGCAAAACUAAGGAGAAGAGACAGAGAAAACACUAGAUCUGAAUAACAAAGGAUGCAUACUUAAGCAAACUAAGGCAUAUAUAGUUAUCACUAAAUGCUCAACCUGGAAAGAAUACUGGAUUGCAGUCUGCUUUUUCUGUAAAGACAAUAGUAUUAUAAAACCGAAAGAGACAACAGGGAAUAUUUCCCACUCAACUAAGCAUAUCUAAAAGCACAUUUGAAGUUUGGAGACAAUAUUCUGUGUUAUUUUAAGAAAAGAUUCUAUAGCAUUAUUACCUGGUGGUAAGAAAAUAACAUGUAAAAGAAAAGGUAAUAAGAAUAAAAAAAAUAAGUAAAA